CAUGAAAGAUGGGCACUCUGGCGAGACUGCCGUUGACAAAACGGAGGAAGGUGGGGACGACGUCAAAUCAUCAUGCCCCUUAUGUCCUGGGCUACACACGUACUACAAUGGCAACAACAGAGGGCGGCGAGGCCGCGAGGCCAAGCGAAUCCCAAAAUGUUGUCUCAGUUCAGAUUGCAGGCUGCAACUCGCCUGCAUGAAGUCGGAAUUGCUAGUAAUGGCAGGUCAGCAUACUGCCGUGAAUACGUUCCCGGGCCUU
rnacentral:rRNA from 1 species